rnacentral:rRNA from 1 species
GAUGAACGCUAGCGGCAGGCUUAAUACAUGCAAGUCGUGGGGCAGCACAGGUAGCAAUACUGGGUGGCGACCGGCAAACGGGUGCGGAACACGUACGCAACCUUCCUUUAAGUGGGGAAUAGCCCAGGGAAACUUGGAUUAAUACCCCGUAACACUAUGAAGUGGCAUCAUUUUAUAGUUAAAGCUACGGCGCUUAAAGAUGGGCGUGCGGCUGAUUAGGUAGUUGGCGGAGUAACAGCCCACCAAGCCAACGAUCAGUAACUGGUGUGA